GACGAACGCUGGCGGCGUGCUUAACACAUGCAAGUCGAACGGAAAGGCCCUGCUUUUGUGGGGUGCUCGAGUGGCGAACGGGUGAGUAACACGUGAGUAACCUGCCCUUGACUUUGGGAUAACUUCAGGACACUGGGGCUAAUACCGGCUAGGAGCUCCUGCUGCAUGGUGGGGGUUGGAAAGUUUCGGCGGUUGGGGAUGGACUCGCGGCUUAUCAGCUUGUUGGUGGGGUAGUGGCUUACCAAGGCUUUGACGGGUAGCCGGCCUGAGAGGGGGACCGGCCACAUGGGGACGGGGAUGCGGCCCAGACUCCUACGGGAGGGAGCAGUGGGGAAGAGUGCACAAGGGGCGGAAGCCUAAUGCAGCAACGCCGCGUGCGGGAUGAGGGCAUGCGGGUUGGAAACCGCUGUCGCCUGUGACGAAGCGAGAGUGACGGUAAUGGGUAAAGAAGCACCGGCUAACUACGUG
rnacentral:rRNA from 1 species